rnacentral:tRNA from 1 species
UGUUCUGUGGCUUAGUUGGCUAAUGCGCUGAACUAGCGAUAGCGGAAACGUGGGUUCGAAUCCCAUCAGAACAA